rnacentral:tRNA from 1 species
GCGCCCUUAGCUCAGUUGGAUAGAGCAACGGCCUUCUAAGCCGUGGGGUCGCAGGUUCGAAUCCUGCAGGGCGCGCCA